rnacentral:rRNA from 1 species
UACGUAGGGUGCGAGCGUUGUCCGGAAUUACUGGGCGUAAAGAGCUCGUAGGUGGUUUGUCGCGUUGUCCGUGAAAACUCACAACUCAAUUGUGGGCGUGCGGGCGAUACGGGCAGACUGGAGUACUGCAGGGGAGACUGGAAUUCCUGGUGUAGCGGUGAAAUGCGCAGAUAUCAGGAGGAACACCGGUGGCGAAGGCGGGUCUCUGGGCAACACUGACGUGAGGAGCGAAAGCGUGGGGAGCGAACAGG